rnacentral:tRNA from 1 species
GGCUUCGUGGUGUAGUUGGAUAUCACAUCUGGCUAGCAGUCGGGAAGUCCGGUGUUCAAAUCCAGGCGAGGCCA